rnacentral:lncRNA from 1 species
UAGAUGAGAAAAGCCUUAAAGAAAAUUGAUAUAAAAAGAAUAAAAAAAAAAUGUAUUUUUGAAGAAACUAAAAUGAUUAAUGGCAAAGAUAAGAAAACUAUAAACUCUUGAAAUUAGAUUAGAAUCAAUAAAAGAUUAGGCGAGAGUGAUGAAGGCCCUCAUUCUUGCUUCUAGAUAUACUAUUUAAUUAAAGAAUUAUGUAGCAAUAUUCUAUUGAUUAUUUCUAAUAUGUCUUACUUAAUAGAUACAAGUUUAACUUGCAAGACAAAUUACCAACAUGUGUAUUAUAUAGCCAACUUGUA